AUGAGGAUUCCUCCUCCUGCCCUGGGGACUCCUUGUCCCUCUCUGACAGCUCAGAGGCAGCAGCUGGGCCAUCACUGCCCUGGGAGGAGUGUCCAGAGGGGUGUCCAGAGUGUCCAGAGUGUCCAGAGGAGUGUCCAGAGGGGUGUCCAGAGUGUCCAGAGUGUCCAGAGUGUUCAGGGUGUCCAGAGGAGUGUCCAGAGUGUUCAGUGUGUCCAGAGUGUCCAGAGGGGUGUCCAGAGUGUCCAGAGUGUCCAGAGGGGUGUCCAGAGUGUCCAGAGGGGUGUCCAGAGGGGUGUCCAUCCUUCCCAGCCGUGCUCCAGGGCUGCUCCAGCCCCUUUCCCAGCCCCUCCUCUGGAGCUGCCUGUGCUGGCUGUCCCCUGCUCCGGGGCCCUGGUGCCUCCUGCUCGGUGUCCCUGUCCCCCCUGGCCAGCGGCUCCCCAGACAGGGAGCUCGGGGAAGCGGCUCCGGGAUCCGCGUGUCCCACGGACUGGGAGUGCUGGGAUGGACUGGGAAGGGCUGGGCCCCUCAGGGCUGCGCUCCCAGCGAUGUGGGAAGGCUCUGAUGGCUCCAGGGAUGCUCCAGAAACAUCCGGGAUUCCUCUGGAAAGGGCAAGAAAAGUGAAUUUCUGAUCAUUUCUCUGAUUUCAACAUCUCUGCCUU
rnacentral:lncRNA from 1 species